GACGAACGCUGGCGGCGUGCUUAACACAUGCAAGUCGAACGAGAAAGGUCCUUCGGGACUGAGUACAGUGGCGAACGGGUGAGUAACACGUGGGCAACCUGCCCUAGGGAGCGGGACAACCCGAGGAAACUCGGGCUAAUACCGCAUAAUUCGCAGGGUCUCAAGGCUCUGCGGGAAAUGGUAGCUUCGGCCUCCGCCCUGGGAUGGGCCCGCGGCGCAUUAGCUUGUUGGUGUGGGUAACGGCCCACCAAGGCGACGAUGCGUAGCUGGUCUGAGAGGACGAUCAGCCACACUGGGACUGAGACACGGCCCAGACUCCUACGGGAGGCAGCAGUGGGGAAUCUUGCGCAAUGGGCGGAAGCCUGACCGAGCGACGCCGCGUGUGUGAUGAAGGCCUUCGGGUUGUAAAGCACUGUCGAGGGGGAGGAAAGCCCGCAAGGGUUUGACCUAUCCCUGGAGGAAGCACGGGCUAAGUUCGUG
rnacentral:rRNA from 1 species